rnacentral:rRNA from 1 species
UACGGAGGGUGCGAGCGUUGUCCGGAAUUAUUGGGCGUAAAGAGCUUGUAGGCGGUUUGUCGCGUCUGCUGUGAAAAUCCGGGGCUCAACCCCGGACUUGCAGUGGGUACGGGCAGACUAGAGUGUGGUAGGGGGAGACUGGAAUUCCUGGUGUAGCGGUGAAAUGCGCAGAUAUCAGGAGGAACACCGAUGGCGAAGGCAGGUCUCUGGGCCACUACUGACGCUGAGAAGCGAAAGCAUGGGGGAGCGAACAGG